UUGAAAGGGAAACGAUUGAAGUCAGUCAUGCCAGUGGGAAUCAACUUAGGGGAAACUCUGGGUGCACUUCUUCGCUUGGCAGGUCAACGUCGAUUUUGAAUGUCAUAAAAUAAUUGGGGGAAGGUAGCUCCUUCGGGAGUGUUAUAGCCCUUGAUAGAUGUGAUGUUUGGGGUCGAGGAUUGCAACGGAUACCCUUCGGGGCUAGCCGCCUGAUCUCUAAUUGGUGUUGGGUUACGGAUAGCAUGCUGACCGUUUUCUAAUUACUGGUUAAAAGGUUAGAGUGUGCAUAAAUUCGUUAAGGAUGUUGACGUA
rnacentral:rRNA from 1 species